GCUCUGUAGUCUAAGAAUUGCACAAGGGUGGUGGUAACCUUAAUACACCAGAUUUCUCAGGAGGAAACUGAAGCACAAUUUCCCAAGCUCUGGUAAUUCAAGUGCAAUUUUCCUCUGACAUUUUUGGGGCUCUGUUGGCAUGGUGAUAAUGGCAGUUAUCUACCAGUAACAGUAAGAGAAGCUAUGUAGUUAGGAUAUUGUUAAACAGAUGGAGUGGUUUUUGUUGGAUACUAAAUACUGCUACAAUU
rnacentral:snoRNA from 1 species